GAUAACAACAUAAGCAGCACAUCAUAGAAAAAUGUGCCCAUUUAAAUUAGGCAAAAUAUUUCCAUUAUUAAUUUAAUCUUAACAGAAUAAAGCUUCACUUCAUUUUCUUUACAUAAAUGUUUGAACCCACAUUCAGUGGAAAAUCACACAAACACAAUUAUUAACUACAGCUCAUACACUAGAAAACAUGAAAUGUAGCAGACAGACAGUAAAACUCCUGCAGACAGACACUGAUGCCCUGUGAUGGUGAGACAGGUCUACAGUUCUGAUGUGAGACAGGUCAACAGUUCUGAUGUGAGACAGGUCAACAGUGCAGUGAUGGUGAGACAGGUCUACAGUUCUGAUGUGAGACAGGUCAACAGUGCAGUGAUGGUGAGACAGGUCUACAGUUCUGAUGAGAGACAGGUCAACAGUUCUGAUGUGAGACAGGUCAACAGUUCUGAUGUGAGACAGGUCAACAGCGCAGUGAUGGUGAGACAGGUCUACAGUUCUGAUGUGAGACAGGUCAACAGUUCUGACGUGAGACAGGUCUACAGUUCUGACGUGAGACAGGUCAACAGUUCUGACGUGAGACAGGUCUACAGUUCUGACGUGAGACAGGUCAACAGUGCAGUGAUGGUGAGACAGGUCUACAGUUCUGAUGAGAGACAGGUCUACAGUUCUGAUGAGAGACAGGUCAACAGUUCUGACGUGAGACAGGUCAACAGUUCUGACGUGAGACAGGUCAACAGUUCUGACGUGAGACAGGUCUACAGUUCUGACGUGAGACAGGUCAACAGUGCAGUGAUGGUGAGACAGGUCUACAGGUCUGAUGAGAGACAGGUCAACAGUUCUGAUGUGAGACAGGUCAACAGCGCAGUGAUGUGAGACAGGUCUACACAGUGAUGAUGAGACAUGUCCACAUCUCUGUGAUGGGGAGACAGGUCUACAGCACAGUGAAGGUGAGACAGGUGUACAGCACAGUGAAGGUGAGACCGGUCUAAAGCACUGUCAUGGUGAGACAGGUCUACAGCACAGUGAAGGUGAGACAGGUAUAAAGCCCAGUGAUGUUGAGACAGGACUACAGCACUGUGAUGGUGAGACAGGUCUAGAGUGCUGUGAUGGUGAGACAGGUCUACAGCGCUGUGAUGGUGAGACAGGUCAGGUCUAUUGUGAUGUGAGACAGGACUACAGCACUGUAAUUGUGAGACAGGUCAGGUCAAUAGCACUGUGAUGGUAAGACAGGUCUACAGCGCUGUGAUGUGAGACAGGACUACAGCACUGUAAUGGUGAGACAGGUCAGGUCAAUAGCACUGUGAUGGUGAGA